rnacentral:precursor_RNA from 17 species
CAAUUAUCAGUUGUGAAAUGUGUCCCCUGUUACGUCAACAUUGAAGCCUUUCUGUGAUAUACUUCAGUAAGUGCUUUUAUGUUGAAGUGGUCGUGGAUACUUCAUUCUCUGCCAGUGAUA